AUGUUCACGGCUUUCCAGGUGGACGAACAUACGUUCAAGGUGUGUUCUAUUUUGGGCAUGUCGGAUUCAAAACCUGAAGACCCAGACAAAGGAAGGAACUACUUCGUGAAAGCCUCGAUAAGCGAAGGCGAGUACUACUGCCAAUGCUGCAAGUUCGAACGGGACGGCAUUGUGUGUUGUCACAUACUAAAAGUGAUGGACAUGAACGCUGUGACACGGAUGCCCUGCCAUUUCAUAAGGCGACGAUGGACUUGGGACGCUGACGACGCGUUGGCGCUGCAGACAACACACGCGGUUCUGGCUGUGCAUGACGAGAGACCUGAGUCAACCAUGGAAGCGGUGAGGCACGUAGUGCUGACAAAGAACUAUGCUGAGCUAAUUGAUGAAGCGUGCAAAAGUGAUGAGACAGCAAGAGUCGCAGAAAAACACAAGAAGGCGCUGAAAAGAGAGCUUGAUGAGAUCAAGAAGAGGAAAGCUGAGGAAGCCUUACACCGGUUCCCCCGCACAUCAAGUGUGCCUUCAUCGACGGGGCCAUUGUCUGAAAACUCGGACAUAGGAUCUGGAACAGCAAGCACACAAACGCAGGUCAGGAACCCACCCCGUUCCAUCACAAAGGGGCGCCCGAGAGAGAUAAGGUACAAGUCAGGAUUGGAGAUUCAAGCAAAACACAAGAAAACGAAGAAAGCGGCGGGCAAUCCAUGA
rnacentral:rRNA from 1 species